UCUACCUUUCGAAACCAGACAAGGUAAAUAUGUCAUAACCCUGGUUAAAUAGCUAUGGUAUUCAAUUUAGUCUAAAGACAUGAUACCUAGCCAGGAUAGGAAUAUUCAACUUCAAAACAGGUUUUAAUUAGGAAAGGCGUAGUUUUCUAGUUAUAUAUCUAUAUCUACAUCUAUGUGUAUAUGUUACACUUGUGUAUAAGACUUUAGAAGAACCAACAUGUAACACAUGCACGGUCACCUUUCCUGAAGAUACCUAUGAAUGUCUUAGCGUCGAAGUCAUCUCUGUUACAUUUCUUCUCCAACUGAACAACAAUAUGAAAUCCAUUCAUAGAGCUUUGUUUGCUGCUUUUGCCUUACUACUCUUUCACUUACUCAUCUGUUCUCCACUGUCCCUCCACUGUUGGAGCAACACUCAUUCAAGAGUUAGAAAUCAACCGAGGAGAUUGCUAGGUUCUUUUGCUUCUAUUUCUGCGAAUCUAAACAAGUUGAGUAGAGCCAUUCAAGACCCAAAGAAAGCUGUGGAGACAAGUUUAAGGAAAGCACCGCCGAGUGCUUCAAAUCCCACCCAAAACAGGAAUUUUGAGGAGAUUGGAGUUACUCUGACCAUAACAAGGAUAAUCACGAGUAACUUCAAUGGAUCUUAGCUAACUUGUAGGCAUAUUCCUCAAGAGCAUUAGAACAUGUGGCGUAAAUACUAGACUACUUUAGAUGUAAUGGACAUCCACAACAUAUGGGAGAAGAUUUACGAAGAAUGCUUCAAGGAUCUAUUAAGGGAUAAAUGCGAGAAGGCCAAUAAGGACACAAGUAACCUUGAAGUCGAUAUCCUAAUAACGAAGGGUAAGCCAUGACCUUGGAUCACUGUAGAGGUAUGGGACCAGUUAGUUGAUAAUAUAUGGUCCACAUUUGAGUGGCAGGCACA